GUCUGCUUUAUCGACUGUUUGGUACAGAACACUGCUGGCUGAAUAUUGUAUAUGAACAAGCAAGACAGACUGAAAUCUCAAAGAGCUCUUUCCUCGCAAAUGUCUCUGUGUGGCUUACAGGACAGAAUAUGAGAAUAACCCAGCACAAGACAGUGUGAAAGGAAACCUGAAUCUAUUUACUGUUAAGAAGCCCCGGACUGAACUGACAGGUACGGAAUGUAACAUUGCUCCAAAGGCUUGGCAUGCUGAUAUUGUCUUUGUGUAUUUGAAGUAUUUCCUCUGGCCUUCAGAAUGUUCAUAUCAUCCAGAAUGCACAGCACUGUGACCGUCCUUUGGAAGGAACAGACCUGACAACCAUCAACUUAUCUGCACUGUGUCAGAGGAACCACCAGUUUGACAGCAAUCCAUAUCCAAUGCAUGCAGGACCUUCAAAAGAAAUUUCUCUGCUACAGUCACAUAUUUGUCACGUUUCAUUUGCAAGUAUCAAGUUGCAUGACUGGAGAUUCUGCUUGGAUGCUGGGAAAAAUUUCCUCUCAGGAAGAGAGGUGAGGUGCUGGAAUAGGCUGCCCAUGGAGGUGGAGGAGUUACCGUCCGUGUUCAAGAAAAAGGUAGGUGGCACACUGGGUGACAUGGUUUAGUGGUACAGUGGUGACAGAUU